GGGGCUGCCUUGGUUUCGACGUGGGUCACGAAGCGGCACAAUGCAUGUCGAGGUCCGGAAUCCUCGUUAAACAGUUCGGAAAGUAAUAAACGCCAAUAACGAGCGUUACGCUCUCGCGGCUUAAUCCCGCGGGAUGAUGCACCGGCUUGUCUGAGGGCCGGGUCAGGCAACUGACAGCAUCACCAUAUACUCAGGCUGGAUCUGCGCGGAGUCGUGACGCGCAGGUUGAGAUCAAGCGACUGGCUUUCGAAGGGCCCGCCGACGGGCAUGAGCGAAAGUGAGACUUUAAAAUCCGCCGGCUAAGCAUGUAGAUUUGUACGGGGACGAUUUGCGGACGCGGGUUCGACUCCCGCCAGCUCCACCA
rnacentral:tmRNA from 1 species